GCUCAACCGGGGAGGGUCAUUGGAAACUGGGAAACUUGAGUGCAGAAGAGGAGAGUGGAAUUCCACGUGUGGCGGUGAAAUGCGUAGAGAUGUGGAGGAACACCAGUGGCGAAGGCGACUCUCUGGUCUGUAACUGACGCUGAGGAGCGAAAGCGUGGGGAGCGAACAGGAUUAGAUACCCUGGUAGUCCACGCCGUAAACGAUGAGUGCUAAGUGUUAGGGGGUUUCCGCCCCUUAGUGCUGCAGCUAACGCAUUAAGCACUCCGCCUGGGGAGUACGGUCGCAAGACUGAAACUCAAAGGAAUUGACGGGGGCCAGCACAAGCGGUGGAGCAUGUGGUUUAGUUCGAAGCAACGCGAAGAACCUUACCAGGUCUUGACAUCCUCUGAUAACCCUAGAGAUAGGGCUUUCCCUUCGGGGACAGAGUGACAGGUGGUGCAUGGUUGUCGUCAGCUCGUGUCGUGAGAUGUUGGGUUAAGUCCCGCAACGAGCGCAACCCUUGAUCUUAGUUGCCAGCAUUUAGUUGGGCACUCUAAGGUGACUGCCGGUGACAAACCGGAGGAAGGUGGGGAUGACGUCAAAUCAUCAUGCCCCUUAUGACCUGGGCUACACACGUGCUACAAUGGACAGAACAAAG
rnacentral:rRNA from 1 species